UGCUGUAGGAGUGCUGGCCUCCAGCUGUGGCUCCCUGUGGGCACUGACCUGUGGCUGGGCUCCCUGCCCUGACUUUGGACUCGUCCCAUCAGCAGAGACCUGCCCAGUAAUUAGAGGACUGCGUGUGACCCUAGUUGCCCUCACCAGCUCAGGUCCUGCCCUGUAGAUUGGCUUCCUGCCUUGUCCUUGGACCUGCUUCACCACCGGGGACUUGCCUGAUCCGACUCUUGGUCAAAGCCGACCACCACGUCCAGGUCUGCGCUGCUCAGACGUGUUCCUGGAGGUUGUUCCUCCAGGAGCGUGUGACUGCAGGAGCAGGCAGGACCCACACGCUGCUGCGAGAGCUGCCGGGCCAGGACGGAGACCUGCAGGGGUUCAGCCCAUGCCCUGGCCUGGGGACGGGCACGGCUCCUCGUCUGGCUGCCACGCUCUCAGRGAGGCACAUGCCAGGAUCUCAGGCCUCUGAAUAAUGCAGCGCUUCCCUGCGUUUAUGUAACAGUGCUAUUUUAGUGGAGGCAGCAAGACAGAGUGUGGCAAGCAGAAGCUAUGGCAGCGAGUGAGUGAGGCUGGAGGAGUCGCACGGGCUGCAGCAGCAGUGAGCGGAGGACACGGUCACCGCUCCUGCGGCUCCACGACACCGCAGCCCGAGAACAUUCAAGGAGGAAGAAGAAAGUCUUGUCUGCUCCACCAGACCUGACCCAGGCUGGGUCCCAGGCACCAGCUGGGCUGGUUCCUUCCAGCUCUGGUCAGGAGAAACAGGCUGGUUGCAGCCCCAUCCUUAAAGCUGCUGUGGUCGCAGCAUGGCAGGGGAGAGUGAUCCUGGGCUAGCCCAGAGGAGCAGCAGAAACCUCAUCUGCUCCAAAGAAAAGGUUGUGAAGCUACAUCUGUAUGGCUCAAAGUCUGCAGGGAGGGCCUGUUCUCUGGCUCCUAACUCACUAUCAAGCAUCAUGGGUGUGCUGGGUGCUCUGUACCUCAUGGCUUUCCCUGGCUACCUGGUGGAGGAAUUUGCGUUUUCUUUGAAUAUCUGCACCAGAGAGGAAUUUGGACUAGGCAUCUCUGCUUUUCAGCUGGCAGAAUUCAAGCUAGAAUGAAAAACUGUUCUACAUUUGAAUUCAGAAACAGUAUUUGAUUACAAGCUAGACCAGAAUGAAAAUGUGAGGGGUGCAGAGCUUCUCCGUGUGCUGCUGUUUGCAGGCUCUGUUUCAUGCCUCAUUUGCUAGGUGCAAUCAGGCUUCGUUCUCUAUGCUCAUGACAGAGAGCCCUUUGCUAGCUCAAGCUCUGGGUGCAGCUGAACCAUUUGACUUCUCAAUGCCA